rnacentral:rRNA from 1 species
UUCUUAUUGGUUGGAUAAUAAGUAUCUUCUGCUCAAUGUAAAAUAAAUAGCUGCGUUUGCACUAAGGUAGCAUAAUAAAUUGUCUUUUUAUUGGGGACUGGAAUGAAGGAAGGAUUGUGGGCUUUAUUUUUCUUCAAAAUAUUAGUUGAAUUUAAAUUUUUAGUAAAAAUGCUAAAAUGAAAUUUAGGGACGAGAAGACCCUAUAAAGCUUUAAUAGAUUUAUUUAUUUGAUUAAGAAGAUUUAUUUUAUUGGGGCAAUACUUUAAGAGGAGAGUUUAAAGAAAAUUUUAUUUAUUUUAUAUAUAAAGGAACCACAAAUUGUGGAUAUUUGAAUAAGUUACUUUAGGGAUAACAGCAUAAUUUAAA